rnacentral:rRNA from 1 species
GUGGGGAAUCUUGCGCAAUGGGCGAAAGCCUGACGCAGCAACGCCGCGUGGGGGAUGAAGGCUCUCGGGUUGUAAACCCCUUUCAGCAGGGACGAAUCAAGACGGUACCUGCAGAAGAAGCCCCGGCUAACUACGUGCCAGCAGCCGCGGUAACACGUAGGGGGCAAGCGUUGUCCGGAUUUAUUGGGCGUAAAGAGCUCGUAGGUGGCUGAGUAAGUCGGAUGUCAAAUCCCCAGGCUCAACCUGGGAUCCCAUCCGAUACUGCUCUGGCUAGAGUCCGGUAGGGGAGCGUGGAAUUCCUGGUGUAGCGGUGAAAUGCGCAGAUAUCAGGAGGAACACCAGCGGCGAAGGCGGCGCUCUGGGCCGGUACUGACACUGAGGAGCGAAAGCGUGGGUAGCAAACAGGAUUAGAAACCCCAGUAGUCC